rnacentral:rRNA from 1 species
CCUACGGGAGGCAGCAGUGAGGAAUAUUGGUCAAUGGGCGGGAGCCUGAACCAGCCAAGCCGCGUGAGGGAAGAAGGUACAGCGUAUCGUAAACCUCUUUUGUCAGGGAACAAAGGCGUGGACUAGUCCCCUGAUGAGGGUACCUGAUGAAAAAGCAUCGGCUAACUCCGUGCCAGCAGCCGCGGUAAUACGGAGGAUGCGAGCGUUAUCCGGAUUUAUUGGGUUGAAAGGGUGCGCAGGGGGCCUGUUAAGUCAGCGGUAAAAGCCCGGGGCUCAACCGCGGAGAGCCGUUGAAACUGGCAGGCUGGAGUUGGAUAGAGGUACGCGGAAUGCGGGGUGUAGCGGUGAAAUGCUUAGAUAUCGCGAAGAACCCCGAUUGCGAAGGCAGCGUACUGGCUCCAAACUGACGCUGAGGCACGAAAGCGUGGGUAUCGAACAGGAUUAGAUACCCGAGUAGUC